rnacentral:rRNA from 1 species
UGCCAGCCGCCGCGGUAAUACGGAGGGGGUUAGCGUUGUUCGGAAUUAUUGGGCGUAAAGGGCGCGCAGGCGGUCCUGUCGGUCAGGUGUGAAAGCCCGGGGCUCAACCCUGGAAGUGCACUUGAAACAGCAAGACUUGAAUACUGGAGAGGAGAGAGGAAUUCCUGGUGUAGAGGUGAAAUUCGUAGAUAUCAGGAGGAACACCGAUGGCGAAGGCAUCUCUCUGGACAGAUAUUGACGCUGAGGCGCGAAGGCGUGGGUAGCGAACGGGAUUAGAUC